rnacentral:rRNA from 1 species
ACGAACGCUGGCGGCGUGCUUAACACAUGCAAGUCGAACGGGAUUUAGUAAACAGAAACCUCGGUGGAAGAUUACUAAUGAGAGUGGCGAACGGGUGAGUAACGCGUGAGCAACCUGCCUAUGACAGUGGGAUAGCCUCGGGAAACCGGGAUUAAUACCGCAUAAAAUCGUAGAAACACAUGUUUUAACGGUCAAAGAUUUAUCGGUCAUAGAUGGGCUCGCGUCUGAUUAGCUAGUUGGUGAGAUAACAGCCCACCAAGGCGACGAUCAGUAGCCGGUCUGAGAGGAUGAACGGCCACAUUGGAACUGAGACACGGUCCAAACUCCUACGGGAGGCAGCAGUGGGGAAUAUUGCACAAUGGGGGAAACCCUGAUGCAGCGACGCCGCGUGAACGAAGAAGGUAUUCGUAUCGUAAAGUUCUGUCCUAUGGGAAGAUAAUGACAGUACCAUAGAAGAAAGCUCCGGCUAAAUACGUG